rnacentral:rRNA from 1 species
UACGAAGGGGGCUAGCGUUGUUCGGAAUCACUGGGCGUAAAGGGCGCGUAGGCGGCUUUAUAAGUCGGGGGUGAAAGCCUGUGGCUCAACCACAGAAUUGCCUUCGAUACUGUAGAGCUUGAGACCGGAAGAGGUAAGUGGAACUGCGAGUGUAGAGGUGAAAUUCGUAGAUAUUCGCAAGAACACCAGUGGCGAAGGCGGCUUACUGGUCCGGUUCUGACGCUG